UCGGGAAUUUUGGGCAAUGGGCGAAAGCCUGACCCAGCAACGCCGCGUGAGGGAUGAAGUAUUUCGGUAUGUAAACCUCGAAAGAAUGGGAAGAAUAAAUGACGGUACCAUUUAUAAGCUCCGGCUAACUACGUGCCAGCAGCCGCGGUAAUACGUAGGGAGCAAGCGUUGUUCGGAUUUACUGGGCGUAAAGGGCGCGUAGGCGGCGCGGUAAGUCACUUGUGAAAUCUCUGAGCUUAACUCAGAACGGCCAAGUGAUACUGCCGUGCUAGAGUGCGGAAGAGGCAACCGGAAUUCUUGGUGUAGCGGUGAAAUGCGUAGAUAUCAAGAGGAACACCUGAGGCGAAGGCGGGUUGCUGGGCCGACACUGACGCUGAUGCGCGAAAGCCAGGGGAGCAAACG
rnacentral:rRNA from 1 species